UGUAGCCAGGUGAUCAAGGAGCUUGGACUUCGUCCCAAGGACAACGUGGCGCCCAAGGAGCGUUUGCUGCUGGAUGAGACCUGCUCAGAUGAGGCUUUCAGAGAGCUCCGGGUGCCAAAGGGCAUGGAAGGAAGAAGAACAGGACUGGGGGGUGGGGAAUGGUCAGGUGUCCAAUCCUAGUCCUGGAAUGGAAGAGGACCCUGACUUCCUCCAAGGUGAGGAAGAGAGAAGGCAAAGACGGAGCCCAGUGGUCACCUGGCCUCCCUACUGUCACUGGGAAACAGGUGAACAGGCCGGGAGAGCAGGUGUGCAGGGGUCAGCUGUUGAGAGUUUGAUGCAGAAGGAUGGAGAGACCUGGGGACACUCAGGGGACAUGGGUUCGAGCCCUGGUCCGGGAAGAUCCCACAUGCCACGGAGCAACUAAGCCUGUGCGCCACAACUACUGAGCCUGCGCUCUAGAGCCCGCGAGCCACAACCACUGAGCCUGCGUGCCACAACUACUGAAGCCCGUGCGCCUAGAGCCCAUGCUCCGCAACAAGAGAAGCCUCUGCAAUAGGAAGCCCGUGCACGACAACAAAGAAUAGCCCCUGCUCACCGCAACUAGAGAAAGCCCGCGAGCAGCGACGAAGACCCAACGCAGCCAAAAAAUAAAUAAAUCAAUAAAAAAUAAAUAAAUUUAUAAAAAAAAAAGUUCAGGAAGUGGAUGGUGAUGAUGG